rnacentral:rRNA from 1 species
UGGUGGAGUGAUUUGUCUGCUUAAUUGCGUUAACGAACGAGACCUUAACCUGCUAAAUAGUUGCACGAAUUUUUCUAUCAAAGGGCAAAGUGACCGGGGCACUCUUCGGGGUCCCUGCAUCAUGGAGUUCUGGUUUAAUUCGGAGUUACUUCUUAGAGGGACAGUUGGUUACAAGCCAAAGGAAGUUUAAGGCUAAAACA